UACGUAGGGUGCAAGCGUUGUCCGGAAUUACUGGGCGUAAAGAGUUCGUAGGCGGCUUGUCGCGUCGACUGUGAAAUCCCGCGGCUCAACUGCGGGUCUGCAGUCGAUACGGGCAGGCUAGAGUUCGGUAGGGGAGACUGGAAUUCCUGGUGUAGCGGUGAAAUGUGCAGAUAUCAGGAGGAACACCGGUGGCGAAGGCGGGUCUCUGGGCCGAUACUGACGCUGAGGAGCGAAAGCGUGGGAGCGAACAGG
rnacentral:rRNA from 1 species